GCCAGCUGCAAAAGGUCUGUUGCAAACCCAACGCACAUUUCAUGCUGCAGAGUUUCUUUCCGCACAGGUUCACGACUUGGAUCCAGAAUUAGGGCAAGACCACUGCUGCCACACCAACUGCUGAAUUCCUAGCUCCUGCCUUUAAAUAUCUCAGAUAGUGCUCUAUCAGCAACAGCUGUUGACCAUCCCAAGUCCCUGCAUAUUUAACAGGGAGUGGCAGCAUUGCAAAAGUCAUUCACUCGGUCAUCUUUAAGAAAUACUUUGACAGCCAAUUCCAGAAACACAUCAAAUGCUUCCGUCAUCACCUCAACAUAAAAGGAAUGUCUCUGCCAACGUUUUCCAACUGCAUCAAGAUAUCCUGCCCACUGCCUGCAGCCCAAACACCUUUUCUCGAGUCCUGCUGAAUAAAGCCAUCCUCGUCAACAAUGGCACCUAAUGUUUUGCUUUGUUGCAAACAUAAAACCAGGAUCAAACUUUUCUCAUUUCUUUCAUCCCUCCGAUCUUUCAAUAUCUCCAUUAUUCCCAGGUCAAUGUUCGAUAUUGAUCUUGGUUACAGUAUCCAUGACAGCAAUCACCAUUUAGUAAUUCCUUGGCAUUCUCAUAAAUAAUCAAAUAGAAUAAUGUAAUAGAACAAUUGAACCAGCUCACUACUUGUGCAAUGAAUCCAAUAACCAGUAACAAUAUGUUUUUCCAAACAAGUAAAAAAUAAAUGCAUGGCUCUUCAGCACACGAUAAUAAUAUGGACAAGGAGCAAAAAAAUCUACAGAAAAUUAAAUGGUCCACUGUCCAAAAAUUAGAUCAGUAUACAAAGCAUUCUUUUUAUCAGAAGGUUCCUAUUAUUUCACCUUUGCGCUACAUAUUUUGCAUAUAAUCCCCCACGAUUAGGUUUGAGGUGCAGCUCCCAAGAACAACUCAAAUUCAGUCACUACAAUCUACAGUAUAUCCUGUGAAACACUUCAAGAUGUCCUCCCAGCGUGAAAGGUGCCAUAUCAAAUGAAAGGAUGUAUUAUCAUUAACAAUGGGCACACGAUCAGGUUCUAGGACUCCGAAAACAGUUCAUUAGAACAAUGAAAAUAUGCCAGGCACCAGGAUGUCUACUAUCAUAUUUACAGCUCAACAGAAUGAAAUAAUUUGUAAGAAUUUCAUUCAAAUAAAGCCAUGCAGCUUUUCAAGGUAACAUGAUUUGCAAGCAAUGGACCUCGAGUUCACAAUGACAUUUGGGUGAUAAACCUUGGUGAAGUGCGACUAAAUCCAGUUUCAAUUUACAUAUUGUUAUUCACAUGAAAUUAAAUGUUGACUCGAGUGCACCUGUAAUUUUCCAAUUGCUUAAAAUAAA